rnacentral:lncRNA from 1 species
GGUGUGAUGCAACAUGCGUAGCAGCCAAUCCGUUGAGGGGGUGUGUAUGCGUGUGUGUUUGCCUGUAUGCUUUCAACAACCUGCUAUGAGGUGUAACGUGCUCCAUAGAGUUUAAUGUCACAGUGUUGGGGCAGUGAACAACAGUCAUUAAACAACUUUCAUGGCCUCAGUCUAAAUUGGUUCCAGCGCCUAAUGGAUAAGCUGCAAAGUAUUUCACCCUGUUUUCACUCUUUCUACUCUGUAGAAAAGAGCAAAUGAUCAGCCAGAUGGUCCAGUUGAAAUGUGAAACCCUGCAAUUAUCAUUCUUUCUAAUAACGCACAAGUGAAAUGGACAGUAGAAGUAUAAAGGUAAACAUUGAUUAUUGUGCUGUAGUGCUGUUGAUCAAUAUAUAAGUCAGGCAUAAAUGUGACCCGUUUCAUCAUAUCAGAUAUGGAAAACAGUGUUUGUACAUUUCUGUCAUUGCACUUUAUGCUGCCGUGUAUUAAAUUUUGACGGCUUUAAUAUGAAUUUAUCCUGCGUCGAUUAAUUUCACGUGAUCUCCUUUUCAGCGACGUGCUUUGAUAAAAAUCAUAAAUUUGUUUUCAGUGCAGCAGUUUAACAAUCUACUCUUAUGUGUAAUGCAAAGGGGGGGAUUUAAAAAAACUUAUACGUGCUUGUUUAAUGUGGCAAGCGGCCCAAGAAGUCGGAUGCAGCAGAGGACAGAUCUUUUCAACAAAACAAACACUGCGUCAGUGUUGUUUUUUUAUUAGUGGCCCGGCCCAUCAACCGGAGCAGGGAACAGCGUGCUGCCCGACGUGCUCGCCAUGUGUACCAAAUAUAAACAACAGAGUCCAUCGGUACAACAGCUGCCCUGAAAUCGACACCCAGGAUGAGCCUUCUAUGCCGAGGCGCAUUGAACUGGGCUUCGCAGAAAGUCGCUGUGACAACAUUGCUCGUCAUCUGUUCCAACCCUCACGGAUGUUGUACGAGAUGCCCUGGAUGCGGCUGCUGGGAUGGGAGGAUGGGAGCUAUCAGUGCCUCCUGGGUCCAUCCCUACAACUAACUUCCUGAAUGUUGUCUACGUGUGAAACACACCUACCUGACCCACAGCCCUCCCACCAGGCCAGGUGAGCGCACCGCUUCUAAGGGAACCGUGGGAAAGCAAUCGAACUCAUCACAGAAAGAGAAAUACCAGUGGAUCACUUCUGCUCGCGGACAUCACGUGAUGCCGAGGCAUAUCGCUCACAGCUGCACUAAUCCACUGUAAAAUCUGACCUUUUAAAAUUUUGCAUCUGAGGAUAACAAACUCAUGCAGCCACUUUAUACUGACAGAUGGCAGUGAUCAUGCCCAUAAUGUCUCCUGCACCAUUUGGCUCGGGACAUGGACUCUCGGAAAUGGAUUCUUUUGCUCUGCUUGGUUCAGUUGGCCUCCUAGUGGAACUUAUUAUACAUUACAUCCCCAAUGGGGACAAAUAUUACAAUAUAGUCGUUUACAUUGACACGUAUUUAUUUAACAGAUGCUUUUCUCCAAAACAACUCCCAAUGAGCUCUCUGUAGUGUUAUCAGCCCACACACCUUAUUCACCGCGGUGACUUACACUGCUAGAUACACUACUUACACUGGGUCACUCAUCCAUACAUCAGUGGAACACACACACUUUCUCUGUCACUCACACACUACGGGGGAACCUGAACGGCAUGUCUUUGGAAUAUAAUUAUGAAGAUCAUUCUAGAGCACAGCGAACAAAAAAUAUCAUAACAAGUUUGAAAUAUAACAAUUUGAAAAGCAUUGCAGAAUUUCAUUGUAUCACUGAAUGUUCCCUCCUCUGAUUAUCCUUCAGAUCCUUGCAGAAGUUCUGUGUGAAACCAUCAUUAAAGCUGCUUCGGCUGGAAAACAAUGAAUGAAUGAAGUCCAGCUCCUAAAUAUAUGCUGGUGUGGAAUGCUUUAGUAUUUAAUUUUAGCAGCUCUACACACAACGUCCUUCUUGGUAAAACCACAACAGCGAAGGACACAGGAAUCCAGACAGUGUCUAGACAAGAGCAGGAACCUGGGCUCUGAGGAUCGCCGUUCA